rnacentral:rRNA from 1 species
UACGGAGGGUCCAAGCGUUGUCCGGAUUUAUUGGGUUUAAAGGGUGCGCAGGCGGGAUAUUAAGUCAGUGGUGAAAGCCUACAGCUCAACUGUAGAAUUGCCAUUGAAACUGAUAUUCUUGAGUAUGGAUGAGGUGGUUGGAAUAUAUCAUGUAGCGGUGAAAUGCUUAGAUAUGAUAUAGAACACCAAUUGCGAAGGCAGAUCACUAAACCAUUACUGACGCUCAGGCACGAAAGCGUGGGGAGCGAACAGG